rnacentral:rRNA from 1 species
UACGUAGGGGGCUAGCGUUGUCCGGAUUUAUUGGGCGUAAAGAGCGUGUAGGCGGCCAGGUAGGUCCGGUGUGAAAACUCGAGGCUUAACCUCGAGAUGUCAUCGGAAACCAUCUGGCUAGAGUCCGGAAGAGGAAAGUGGAAUUCCUGGUGUAGCGGUGAAAUGCGCAGAUAUCAGGAAGAACACCAAUGGCGAAAGCAGCUUUCUGGGACGGUACUGACGCUGAGGAGCGAAAGCGUGGGGAGCGAACAGG